rnacentral:rRNA from 1 species
GGCAAGCGGAUCUCUUAAAGCUGUUCUCAGUUCGGACUGCAGUCUGCAACUCGACUGCACGAAGCUGGAAUCGCUAGUAAUCGCGGAUCAGCACGCCGCGGUGAAUACGUUCCCGGGCCUUGUACACACCGCCCGUCACACCAUGGAAGUCUGCAAUGCCCGAAGCCGGUGGCCUAACCACUUAUGUGGAAGGAGCCGUCUAAGGCAGGGCAGAUGACUGGGGUGAAGUCGUAACAAGGUAGC